AAUAUAGCUAUAGAGAGAAACACACUAAUACAGUAAUACUCCUCUCUCUCUCUCUCUCUCUCCUCCCUCUCUCUCUCUCUCAAUAGUGCAUGGGUGAUACUCUUUUGGCGUGACAAUAUUAAAUUUUUGUAUCACCUUUGGUUUGGACCACUUUUCUUUUCUUUUUAUUUGUUCAAUUUUUAAAUAUUAAAUUUUUUGUGAAUUCCCUUUCAACCCUUGUUUGCUCUUCUAUAUAUACUGCCCUUUAUUUCUCUAUGUGGAGAAGAAGAAGAAGCACCAAAGCAGUUCAAUGAAACAGGGCCUUCUCUCUUCUUUAUUAUUAUUAUUAUUAUUUCUAGGGUUUAUAGUAUGUUCUCUCAUCGUGCACCAGCAUCGGUUGAAGCUGCCAGCAUGAUCUUAACCUUCCUCUUCUUUAUAUUGGGGAAUGAUCAGAUCAUGUGGCAGUUUCACCUGUUGUUGUUGUCACGAAACCCUAAUUUUUUUUGAGCCCUGAAUUCCCUUUUGAUUGAUUAGGGUUUUCCAUUGUGCAAUCCCAAUAGAAGGUACGUGAAUCUACUUUUCCAAGAUCUGGGUUUGUUUUGGGUUUUUUUUUCUUCUUCCCUUUUUUAUGUUUGAAAUGUGUACGGAUGUAUAUUGUGUGGGUAUGGUUGUUUGUGCUUUUUUAUUGUACAAAUGCACUAUUUAUGUGAAAUAAACCUUUGUGGUUUUGUUAGGGUUUUGAGUGGCAGGGAUUUUGUGUCUCGGUGGAGAUCAACAAUUUCAAGAGUCCUUCAGGUGCUUUGGGAUUUUGACAUGUCAUCCUAUCAAUGGAUAGUGAUCAUCAAAGUCAUUAUAGAUGGAGCUGCUUUUGGUUGUGUAUGUUGAAUUGGUAGCCUUUUUCAGUGUAUUGGAUUUAGUCUUUUGAAAGCUAUAUAUGUAUGCGUCUCUUUUCAAGGAGUAGAUCUUUAAUCAGAGAUCUUUAUUUC